AUUUGUCACCUGGAUGCAAUAGUUCAGAAGAGUGGAAAACGCUAUAAAAGUAUUAUUAAGAUCAAUGAAAUUACAGCAGAUGAACUAAACUAGAUAUCAAUUGAAAACUAGAAGUUACAAAAUUAAACAACUUGGCAAUAUCAAAUAUGGUUUACGAAAACGAUAUUAUGAGUUAUGAUUUUACAAUAUAAUUUUCUCUAUCGCGGAAAAUCCUGAGUCCAAUUAUUAUAGGUAGCUUUAUAAUUUAAUUUAACUGUAAAUAUUUAAUUUAAUUUAAUUUUAAACAUGUUUAACCCCAAAGCACAUGCAUCCUUAACUUAAGAAUACAUUGUAUAUGGUUAUGGUUUUUGGCAACUUUUUUCCAUGGCCAUUAGGAUAAAUUAAUUGCAUUUUUUGUAUUAUAAUAUGAAACUAAUAAAACUAUUUUUUCUCAAAAAAAACUUGUUAAAUGCACCAUCACAUUAUUUGUGCCACACUAAUAAUAAAACGUAGAAAUAAGCCAACUUUGAAAUGUAAUUUUU